CAGUUAUAGUUUAUUUGAUGGUCACUUUAUAUGGAUAACUUCUGGUAAUUCUAGAGCUAAUACAUGCACAAAGAGGCGACUUCUCGGAAGCCUUGUGUUUAUUAGAUACAGAACCAAUACCGCUUGCGGUUUGUGGAUGAUUCAUAAUAAAUGAACGGAGCGCAUGGCUUGUGCCGGCGCUGUAUCAUUCAAGUUUCUGACCUAUCAGCUUUCGACGGUAGGGUAUUGGCCUACCGUGGCAUUGACGGGUAACGGAGAAUUAGGGUUCGAUUCCGGAGAGGGAGCCCGAGAAACGGCUACCACAUCUAAGGAAGGCAGCAGGCGCGCAAAUUACCCAAUCCUGACGCAGGGAGGUAGUGACAAGAAAUAACAAAGCAGGUGCAAAUGCAUUCUGCUAUUGGAAUGAGUAGAAUUUAAAUCUCUUUUCGACUAUCAAUUGGA
rnacentral:rRNA from 1 species